CGGAGGGUGCAAGCGUUAUCCGGAUUCACUGGGUUUAAAGGGUGUGUAGGCGGAUACUUAAGUCAGUGGUGAAAUCUCCGGGCUCAACCCGGAAACUGCCAUUGAUACUAUAUAUCUUGAAUUCUGUUGAGGUGGGCGGAAUACAUCAUGUAGCGGUGAAAUGCUUAGAUAUGAUGUAGAACACCGAUUGCGAAGGCAGCUCACUAAACAGCGAUUGACGCUGAGGCACGAAAGCGUGGGGAUCAAACAGGAUUAGAUACCCUGGUAGUCCACGCCCUAAACGAUGAUUACUCGACAUACGCGAUACACAGUGUGUGUCUGAGCGAAAGCAUUAAGUAAUCCACCUGGGAAGUACGACCGCAAGGUUG
rnacentral:rRNA from 1 species